GUUCCCAUCGAUUAGUGGUCAGAUCAUCACGUUGUGGACGCAGCUUCGGCUUGCGGCGAAACCGUGGGGACGGGGGCUCGAAUCCCCCUGGGAACA
rnacentral:tRNA from 1 species